UCCCACGUGGUCUAGCGGUCAGGAUUCCUGGUUUUCACCCAGGCGGCCUGGGGUUUGAGUCCCCGUGUGGGAA